AUAUCCCUGCGGUGCGCGUUGGAAAUUUGAUAAUUAUUGAACCAACACUUUUUUCAAGGGAGCCAAUACUUCUUUCAAGCAUACGUGCUUAAAGAGAGGCGCCCACCUGAAAGCAAACGGUUCAAACUAUCUAUCCAACGGCACUUCUGCGGGGAUUUU
rnacentral:other from 1 species